rnacentral:rRNA from 1 species
UACGGAGGGUGCAAGCGUUGCUCGGAAUUAUUGGGCGUAAAGGGUAGGUAGGUGGUCUCAUUUGUCAGGGGUGAAAGCCUUGAGCUUAACUCAAGAAGUGCCCUUGAAACGGUGGGACUGGAGUCCUGGAGAGGUGAGCGGAAUUCCCGGUGUAGCGGUGAAAUGCGUAGAGAUCGGGAGGAACACCAGUGGCGAAGGCGGCGAUCUGGGAAGAUACUGACGCUGAGGUGCGAAAGCGUGGGGAGCAAACAGG